UACGGGGGGAGCGAGCGUUGUUCGGAUUUACUGGGCGUAAAGGGCGCGUAGGUGGGUCUUCAAGUCAAAUGUGAAAACCGACGGCUUAACCAUCGGCCUGCAUUUGAUACUGUCGAUCUUGAGUACGGGAGAGGAAAGCGGAAUUCCUGGUGUAGCGGUGAAAUGCGUAGAUAUCAGGAGGAACACCGGUGGCGAAGGCGGCUUUCUGGCCCGAUACUGACACUGAGGCGCGAAGGCCGGGGGAGCAAACAGG
rnacentral:rRNA from 1 species